UUACAUAAAAGACAAAGAAAGCCUAAAGGGCUUUGUUCAUUUGAGAGAGCUUUUGUUGAUUAAUUCCUAGUCAUCAUCUUCAUCACUGGACUUGCAAGGUUUGUAGCAGAAGUCGGUGGUGUCAAGGCAACGACACUGGCCUGGCAUCGAGCGUGUGCACGCACAGCGAUCACAAGCUGAGUGACAUGAAUUCAACCUAAUAUCUGCACAAUGGCAUUGAGGUGGCAUUGAGGCUGUGCACAUGCAGAGAUCACAGCAUGGUUUUGAAGACUCAUCAUCACUUGAUGAGUGAUCACUUUUGAAGAGGUUCAGUUCCAUGCGUGCAUUAGUAACCCCCACAAGGAAAAGAACCAAGAAACACACCUUUAGCACCACCAUGUUGUUCUUCAAACCCAUCUUUACUGUUUUUCCUGUCAAGUGUGAAGAGAAAAGAACCCGUGAAGUGAGUUAUUUAUAUAAGAGGAUUUGCAGAUGGAACGUGAUACUGAGAAUUUUACUUUGUCGUGGAGUGAUGUCAUGCCUUUUUCUGGAUUACAUUUGAAAGGUGGCACACAUGCAGGAUAUGGAGAUUGAGGUUGCUUCCACGAUUGCUAGGUGCUGUCUAGCUAUCUGCAUGAAAAACAGGUUCAAGUAGUGGAAAAUUAAUCCGACUAUAAUGAAAAUUUGAAAAUGGAAUUAUAAUAUUCUCUAUAGAUUUUGUGGUGAAAGUGUGAAACUCAUUAAAAUUAAUAAUUUUUAAUAAAUUUUACACAAUUAUAAAAAAAUAUUAGGAAAGAAAAUGUUAUGUCGUUAACAUUCAUCUCUUUAAUUAUAAUUUAGUUUUCAAGUGUGAGUGUGAUUCCUUUCUAAUGUUUCAAUUAGAAGCAAAAGAAGUUGACAUGAAAUUUUUUCAUUAUUCAUAAUAUACAUAUAUUAUUUUUUAUUAUUUUGAUUUAUUGGAUUUCACAAUUUGUAUAAGGAAACUUAAAAUUUUUUUAAGUUGUACUUAGAUUAAGGAAUGCCUUUAUGAUAUGUUAGCAGUGAAUCUGAAUCCUUAUGUUAGAGGAUGAGAUGAUUGGUUAUCCAGUGAUAGAAGGAUCAGGAUGUACUAAAUAGUUUGGAACCCUUACAUGACUAGUGUUAAUCACAUUGACAAGUGUUUCAAAUUGUCAUAAGUAAUAAAGUAAAACGAAAGUUCGAGUGUCGAGUUUACAGAGACUUUGUUUGUACUUAGACUGGUACAAACUCAAUUUUCAAGCAAGAGAUAAGGAAUUGAAAGUGGAAAAUUAAAGGGAAAAGUAGAAGAUAAAAAGACAAGAAAAAUAAACAAUGAUUUGAAUGCGAAAGAUGAAUUCACAAUUCAAAUGUAUUGGGGCCUAUCAUGCCUGACUACCGUUGAUGCAAUGUUAAUGUGUUUUUCUAUUUAAUAUUAUUCUAAUUUCCAUCCACAUCUACAAUGAUACUCAACCAUGAUCCCUCACAUUGAAGAAUUUAAUUUAUAUAUUCUCUCUCUCAACUCCUUUUGUAGAGAUAAAACACUAAAUUGCAUCUUGGUCUAUUAAGUGAGACUAAGAAGUUUCUCUCUAACAACUUUGAAAUCAAAGAUAUGGGUGAGGCAGACUAUGUGAUAUGAAUAGAAAUAUUUUGUGAUAGAUCACAAGGACUGUUAGGCUUGUCUGAGAAAUCAUAUAUUAAUAAAGUUUUAGAGAGAUUCAGAAUGGAUAAAUGUUUAGCAUCUCCCGUUCCAAUACAAAAAGGAGACAAAUUUAAUCUCAUGCAAUGUCCAAAGAAUGAUCUGGAACGAAAAAGAUGAAAAAUAUCCCUUAUGCAUCUGUUGUUGGGAGUUUGAUGUAUGCUCAAACAUGCACAAGGCUAUAUUAGCUUUGUAGUUGGUAUGGUUGGUAGAUACCAAAGUAAUCCAGGAUUGGAUCAUUGGAAAGCUGCAAAUAAAGUCUUAAGAUACUUGCAAGGGACAAAGGAUCACAUGUUUACUUAAAGGAGAUCUAGUCAUCUUGAGGUGAUUGAAUAUAUAGAUUCAGAUUUUGCUGGUUGUAUAAAUACAAGAAAGUCUACAUUUGGUUAUGUGUGUCUUUUAGCCGGAGGAGUGAUUUCAUGGAAAGGUGCAAAGCAGUCAGUCAUUGUUGCAUCCACCAUGGAAGCUGAAUUUGUGGCAUGCGUUGAGGCCACAGUUCAGGUAAUUGGUUGAGGAAUUUUAUUUCAAAAUUUGGAGUAGUUGACAAUAUUGCCAAGCCGCUGAAAAUUUAUUGUGAUAAUAUCGUAGCUAUCUUCUUUUUUAAAAACGACAAGUAUUCUAAAAGUGCUAAGCAUAUGGAAUUGAAAUACUUUGCCGUUAAAGAAGAAGUUCAGAAACAUAUAGUGUCAAUAAAACAUAUUAGCACUAAUCUAAUGAUUGUUGACCCUUUAACAAAAAGGUUACCGUCCAAAGUAUUUACUGGCCAUGUAGUGAAUAUGGGCAUUAUGUCUGCUAGUGAAUGUUGAAUGCUAUUAUUAUUAAUAAUGUCUAUUUGACACUUUGAGCUCAUUAUUGUGUAAGUUUCUGAAAUUUGUGUUUUCUACUUUAUGUGUAUAUGCAUGCAAAUUAUGAUGUGGAAAACAUAUUAUGUUUUGUUAAUGAAAGAAUGACUUUUGUUUAAACCCAUUAUGAACUUCUCAUUUUACAGUCAUAUUAAAGAGAGAUAAUAUAGUAAUAUAUGAAAGGGAAUAUGUUGAUUAAAUGACAUGUAAUUGUCAUGACUCUUAUUAUUUUUUGUCUUUAAUUAUGAUUAAUGAUGGAGAAAAAAAAACAAAAAACUUCAGUUUUACAAAAAUAUUUGAAGGUGGCUUUGGUCUUGUUCAUAAAGGUGGCCUACAAGAUGUAGCAAUGAAGAUUCUCAAAAAGAUGAUCAGCAUGGUGAUCGUGAAUUCUUGGCAGAAAUUGUGAUGUGCCACUUGCACCAUAGAAAUUAGUUAAAAGUAUAAGCACAUCAAUGGAGGUUGGGUUUAGCAGAAGUAAUUGUCUCUUAAAAUAUGAUGAAUUAAAGUUUGAAUUCCCGCAUUUAAUUAGUGUCCAAUUGUGUUUCAAAAAGAAUAAUUGUCUCUAAAGAAGAAAGAAAUAUGUGGAAAAACAAAAAAGUAUAAGCAUAAAGAAACAGACUUGCUACCUGUGGUUACAUUUCGUAACAAAGCCCCACAUCGAGUGGUACUAUAAUAGCAAGUGAACUGUUUACACCAUAAAAUGAAAGGCCUGUUACACAACUAUUUACGGAACCGUGUGAUGAACACAAAGCGAAUUAUUCUUUCGCCUUUUACUAAAGAAUACCGUGUGUUCGUCACUCAAAGCGGUAUACGCCUAUUUUUGGAAGAGCCUUCGAUUAUUGAGGGCUCUGCAAUUUCAGUUCAAACUUAUAUAUAUUCUGCUUUUAUCUGUACGUUUCAGUUCUGCUUAGAGUGAACCAUGCCACGCUUCACGUAUUUUUGAACGGUUAUUGAUUCUGUUUUUGUUGAACAGCUAUGCAAAAGAUUAAACAGAUCAGUACCCUAUGUUCGCUUGUAUUAUCCAAAGCCUCACCUAGAACUUUUGCUAUUGAAAUGUGUGUACUUGUAAUGUCUUGUGUUCCUCAUUCUUCAAUUAUGCAAACUCUCUUCAUACAGGGAUUUGAGGAGGGGGGCAAAAAAGAGUGAGUCAAUUUCGAUUCUGGAGCAUUCAUGAAUUUCUGUAUUGAAAAAUUCAAGAUUCAACACAUUAAACAGGACAACUACGUUGUGGAAUUAUGAUUUCUCUUUUUCGUGCAGAGCAAGGAUAUGCAAUCUCAAAACCACUUGUUAUUGCUGUUUCUUUUCAAUUCACUCGUUAAAUUAAUUACUAGUGUUUUAUUGAACUAAGUACAUUACUAAGUCCCACAUUGGUGAGAAGAGAUAACAAUCACUUGAUGUUUUAUCAUAAAAUACACUAUUUUUUGGCCUCUAUGUUAAGAUAAGUAUAGUAUCUGUUUUUAUGUUAAAUAUCUGAUAUGUAGCUUACAACUGUGGGUCUGGCCCUAUAGCAGCAUGGGUUGACACACUUUAUUCUAGGUGUUGAUAUCUAACUUAUCUAAAAAUAAAAAUAAAAAAUUAUAUAAAAUAAUACAAAUUGAUUUUUUUUUGUUUGAAUAAUUUUUCAAAGCAAAUUGGUUUGUGAGUUGUGUUUCAACUAAACCUCCAACACUUAUAUUAAUCAAUAUAAUUACUUUAGUAUUAUAUAUUUUAUCUCUGACACUGAUAUUAACAUUUAUAAUUAUACACUUAUAUUAAUCAAUAUAAUUACUUUUAGUAUUAUAUAUUUUAUCUCUAACACUUAUAUUAACUUUUAUAAUUAUUUAUUUUAGUGUAAUGUAUUUUAUGCAUAUAUCAUUUAAGUUAUAUUAACACUUAUAAUUACUUUACUAUUAUAUGUAUAUUAAUUAUUUGAGUUUUACCGUGUAAUUGAAACUUAUAAAAUGUUACUUUUUUUAGAGUAUUAUUUUUAGGUGUAAUUGGUUUAAAAUCGAUGAAAAUUAUAUUAGUAAGUUUUAUAGAUUAAUAUAACCAAAUUUUUUUAAUAUAAUUUAAUUUAAAAGAUCAAAAGAAAUUAUAUAAAUUUUAAUAAAAUAAUAUUUUAGUAAAAAAAUAAAAAAUAUAAUUGAAUUAAACCGUAAAAGUUUGAUUUAAUUCUGAUUUUAUUUUAAAUGAAAAUUAAAUCAAAUAUGUUUUAUAAUUAACUUUAUUUUAGACGAUUUUUUUUUCAUGAAAAAUGGAAUCUAACAAAGUGAUAAAAAUGACCAAAAUUUGCCAAAAGCAAAUUACUGGCCACUGCGAGCUUUUUAUUCCUUGUUUUAUUUGUCUCCCUUACAUAAAAGACAAAGAAAGCCUAUAGGGCUUUGUUCAUUUGAGAGAACUUUUGUUGAUUAAUUCCUAGUCAUCAUCUUCAUCACUGGACUUGCAAGGUUUGUAGCAGAAGUCGGUGGUGUCAAGGCAACGACACUGGCCUGGCAUCGAGCGUGUGCACGCACAGCGAUCACAAGCUGAGUGACAUGAAUUCAACCUAAUAUCUGCACAAUGGCAUUGAGGUGGCAUUGAGGCUGUGCACAUGCAGAGAUCACAGCAUGGUUUUGAAGACUCAUCAUCACUUGAUGAGUUAUCACUUUUGAAGAGGUUCAGUUCCAUGCGUGCAUUAGUAACCCCCACAAGGAAAAGAACCAAGAAACACACCUUUAGCACCACCAUGUUGUUCUUCAAACCCAUCUUUACUGUU
rnacentral:lncRNA from 1 species